UAAUAUGGCAGGCAGAAUAGUCAUGGAUUUAAACCCCAUUUAUAAAGAUCUUCCUUUUUUUAGAA
rnacentral:tRNA from 1 species